rnacentral:rRNA from 1 species
UACGGGGGGAGCAAGCGUUGUUCGGAUUCACUGGGCGUAAAGGGCGCGUAGGCGGUAGCACAAGUCAGUUGUGAAAUCUCCGGGCUUAACUCGGAAAGGUCAACUGAUACUGUGCGACUAGAGUGCAGAAGGGGCAACUGGAAUUCUCGGUGUAGCGGUGAAAUGCGUAGAUAUCGAGAGGAACACCUGCGGCGAAGGCGGGUUGCUGGGCUGACACUGACGCUGAGGCGCGAAAGCCAGGGGAGCGAACAGG